UACGUAGGGCGCAAGCGUUGUCCGGAAUUAUUGGGCGUAAAGAGCUCGUAGGCGGCCUGUUGCGUCCGCUGUGAAAUCCCGGGGCUCAACCCCGGGCCUGCAGUGGAUACGGGCUGGCUGGAGGCAGGCAGGGGAGAACGGAAUUCCUGGUGUAGCGGUGAAAUGCGCAGAUAUCAGGAGGAACACCGGUGGCGAAGGCGGGUCUCUGGACAGUUCCUGACACUGAGGCACGAAGGCCAGGGGAGCAAACGGG
rnacentral:rRNA from 1 species